rnacentral:lncRNA from 9 species
GCAGUGGAUAACCUCCCUUAGGUUGAGUUCUGCUCAUGUUUGUAAUCUCUGACUUCAGAAAGAAUCCAGUCCCUUUAAAGAGCUCACCAUACUGAGUCAGACUCAUCUUGGAUAUUCUCCCUUUCAUAAGAUUGACUGUGCCAUAUAAUAAAACACAAGCACAGGAGUCAAAUCCAUCAUAUGCACAGUUCCAGGGACUAUGCAGUAUGUGUGCACAGGGAUGGGAGAAAGUUGUGGAGGAGGCAUCUGAGAAUUCUGUAUAUCACAAGCACAAAACAAGACUCUUUCUAAAAAAAAUUGUUGGCUAUGGCAUCUAGCUGUUUGAUGUGGGAUCUCAUUCACCUCCCAGACCAGGGAUUGAACCCAGGCUGUAGCAGUGAAAGUGCCAAAUCCUAACCUCUUGACCACCAUGGAACUCCCAAGCAGGAUAUUUUUGGUGGAGAAGAUUGGAGGUCAUUCCUGGCAAUUUGAGAACAAAUCACCUAGUAAAGUUAGAAGUCUUUUUGCCUUUUGGGAAGACCUCAUGGAUGGUUUGGACCCUCACCCUAGGAACAUCAACCAGUGGUGCACGGGGAGAGCAGAGGAAGGGAAGGAAUCCAGGCCUUUUCACCCUCUGGGCUGCUGGUCCCUGGUGCCCUGAGCCCUGGAGGGCCGGGCUGGAAGCCAAGGAACAAAUUGGUGCUGCCCAGCUAGGGUACCACUGAGUUGAGUCACCCUGACCAGCAGGUCCACCGGCUCUUGGCAUGCAAGUCCAGCAAAACCGGACUCAGCACUUGCUGGGAUCUCCCUGAAGUGCAAUGAGUUUGGCUGGAACAUGAGUGGUUCAAGUUCUGACAUUUUGUUCAUCAUGGUAUUUUUGCAAUUGAUUCUGAUUUGGGGAGAAAGAU